UACGUAAGGGGCAAGCGUUGUCCGGAUUUAUUGGGCGUAAAGAGCGUGUAGGCGGCCAGGUAGGUCCGUUGUGAAAACUCGAGGCUCAACCUCGAGACGCCGAUGGAAACCAUCUGGCUAGAGUCCGGAAGAGGAGAGUGGAAUUCCCGGUGUAGCGGUGAAAUGCGCAGAUAUCAGGAGGAACACCGAUUGCGAAGGCAGGUCUCUGGGCCGAUACUGACGCUGAGGAGCGAAAGCGUGGGGAGCGAACAGG
rnacentral:rRNA from 1 species